rnacentral:rRNA from 1 species
CACGGAGUUAGCCGGUGCUUAUUCCUCAGGUACCGUCAGUGUGGUACGCAUACCCUUUUUCUUCCCUGAGAAAAGCCGUUUACAACCCAGAAGGCCUUCAUCCGGCACGCGGCAUGGCUGGGUCAGGCUCUCGCCCAUUGCCCAAUAUUCCCUACUGCUGCCUCCCGUAGGAGUCUGGCCCGUAUCUCAGUGCCAGUGUGGGGGAUCAGCCUCUCAGCUCCCCUAGACAUCGUCGCCUUGGUGGGCCGUUACCCCGCCAACUAGCUAAUGUCACGCAACCCCAUCCUUGACCAAUAAAUCUUUACUAGUUACCCGAUGCCGGGCUGCUAGUUUAUGCGGUAUUAAUCCGCCUUUCGGCGGGCUAUCCCCCAGUCAAGGGCAGGUUGGUUACGCGUUACGCACCCGUGCGCCACUAGUGUAUUGCUACACCCGUUCGACUUGCAUGUAUUAGGCCUGCCGCUAGCGUUCAUCCUGAGCCAGGAUCAAACUCU